GGGAUUAGAUACCCCACUAUGCUUAGCCCUAAACUUAGAUGUUAAAUUCACAAACAACAUCCGCCAGGGUACUACAAGCGCUAGCUUAAAACCCAAAGGACUUGACGGUGUCUCAGACCCACCUAGAGGAGCCUGUUCUAGAACCGAUAAUCCCCGUUAAACCUCACCACCCCUUGUUUUCUCCGCCUAUAUACCGCCGUCGCAAGCUUACCCUGUGAAGGUCUCAUAGUAAGCAAAGUGGGUAAAUCCCAAAACGUCAGGUCGAGGUGUAGCUUACGAGGUGGGAAGAAAUGGGCUACAUUUUCUACAUCAGAAUAAUACGAACGACACCAUGAAAUUGGUGCCCGAAGGUGGAUUUAGUAGUAAAAAACAAAUAGAGAGUCUUUUUGAACCAGGCUCUGAGACGCGCACACACCGCCC
rnacentral:rRNA from 1 species